GUCCUUCUGCUGGGUGUAUAAGGUCUGGCCUGCCCACUGAGUGUUAAAGGGCCGCGGUAUUUUGACCGUGCGAAGGUAGCAUAGUCAAUAGUCCUUUAAUUGGGGGCUAGAAUGAAUGGUCGGACAUGAAGAAAUCUGUCUCAAGGAGUAUUAAUGAAGUUGACCUUCAUGUGAAAAGGCAUGGAUAGUCCGGGGGGACGAUAAGACCCUAUAAAACUUAAUGGAUAAAAUGGGACCUUUAACCUGGUAGUGAAGGGGGUUCUGUGGGUUACAUUGCGCUGGGGCGGCGGAAAUAUAAAGUCUAGCUGUUUUUGGUUAUGAAAUGAUUAUAAUCAGAUUUUGACCCUGAGAGUUCGGGUUAAAAGUUGAAGUUACUUUAGGGAUAACAGCGUUAUUUCUCUUGAGAGUUCAUAUCGACAGGGAUGUUUGCGACCUCGAUGUUGAAUUAAAGUUUCCCCCAGGGGUAGGAGUUUGGGUGGUAGGUCUGUUCGACCUUUAACAGCUUUACAUGAUUUGAGUUCAAACCGGUGUGAG
rnacentral:rRNA from 1 species